rnacentral:rRNA from 1 species
GACGAACGCUGGCGGCGUGCUUAACACAUGCAAGUCGAACGGAAAGGCCCUGCUUUUGGGGGGUGCUCGAGUGGCGAACGGGUGAGUAACACGUGAGUAACCUGCCCUUGACGUUGGGAUAACUUCAGGAAACUGGGGCUAAUACCGGAUAGGAGCUCCUGCUGCAUGGUGGGGGUUGGAAAGUUUCGGCGGUUGGGGAUGGACUCGCGGCUUAUCAGCUUGUUGGUGGGGUAGUGGCUUACCAAGGCUUUGACGGGUAGCCGGCCUGAGAGGGUGACCGGCCACAAUGGGACUGCGAUACGGACCAGACUCCUACGGGAGGCAGCAGUGGGGAAUAUUGCACAAUGGGCGGAAGCCUGAUGCAGCAACGCCGCGUGCGGGAUGACGGCCUUCGGGUUGUAAACCGCUUUCGCCUGUGACGAAGCGUGAGUGACGGUAAUGGGUAAAGAAGCACCGGCUAACUACGUG